GCUGCCAUCGUCUAAUCGGUCAGGACGCCACCCUUUCACGGUGGAGAUUUACGGGUUCGAGCCCCGUUGGCAGUA
rnacentral:tRNA from 1 species